GUGCUUGCUUCAGCAGCACAUAUACUAACAUUGGAAUGAUACAGAGAAGAUUUGCAUGACCCCUGGACAAGGAUGACAUGCAAAUUAAUGAAGCAUUCCAUGUUUUC
rnacentral:snRNA from 1 species